rnacentral:rRNA from 1 species
UGGGGAAUCUUGCACAAUGGGCGGAAGCCUGAUGCAGCGACGCCGCGUGGGGGAUGACGGCCUUCGGGUUGUAAACUCCUUUCGCCAGGGACGAAGCCGUGAGGUGACGGUACCUGGAUAAGAAGCACCGGCUAACUACGUGCCAGCAGCCGCGGUAAUACGUAGGGUGCGAGCGUUGUCCGGAAUUACUGGGCGUAAAGAGCUCGUAGGUGGUUUGUCGCGUCGUCUGUGAAAUUCCGGGGCUUAACUCCGGGCGUGCAGGCGAUACGGGCAUAACUUGAGUGCUGUAGGGGGGAAUGGAAUUCCUGGUGUAGCGGUGUAAUGCGCAGAUAUCAGGAGGAACACCGAUGGGGAAGGCAGGUCUCUUGGCAGUAACUGACGCUGAGGAGGGAAAGCAUGGGUAGCGAACAGG